GCCAGUGUGGUGUAGUGGUUUCAGCAUUGGACUAUGAUUCUGGAGUCCAGGGUUCAAAUCCUGGCUCAGCCA